rnacentral:rRNA from 1 species
ACGGCUCAGUAACACGUGGAUAAUCUGCCCUAAGGUCUGGCAUAACUCCGGGAAACUGGUGAUAAUUCCAGAUAUGCCAUAGAAACUGGAAUGUUCUGUGGUCAAAAGCUCCGGCGCCUUAGGAUGAAUCUGCGGCCUAUCAGGUUGUAGUGGGUGUAGUGUACCUACUAGCCGACGACGGGUACGGGUUGUGAGAGCAAGAGCCCGGAGAUGGAUUCUGAGACAUGAAUCCAGGCCCUACGGGGCGCAGCAGGCGCGGAAACUUUACAAUGCGGGAAACCGCGAUAAGGGGAUACUGAGUGCCAGCAUCUUAUGUUGGCUGUCCGCAUGUAUAAAUAGCAUGUGUUAGCAAGGGCCGGGCAAGACCGGUGCCAGCCGCCGCGGUAACACCGGCGGCCCGAGUGGUGGCCACUAUUAUUGGGUCUAAAGGGUCCGUAGCCGGUUCGAUCAGUCUUCCGGGAAAUCUGACAGCUCAACUGUUAGGCUUCCGGGGGAUACUGUCGGACUUGGGACCGGGAGAGGUAAGAGGUACUACAGGGGUAGGAGUGAAAUCUUGUAAUCCUUGUGGGACCACCAGUGGCGAAGGCGUCUUACCAGAACGGGUCCGACGGUGAGGGACGAAAGCUGGGGGCACGAACCGGAUUAGAUACCCGGGUAGUCCCAGCCGUAAACGAUGCUCGCUAGGUGUCUGGGACGGUGCGACCGUUUCAGGUGCCGCAGGGAAGCCGUGAAGCGAGCCACCUGGGAAGUACGGCCGCAAGGCUGAAACUUAAAGGAAUUGGCGGGGGAGCACUACAACGGGUGGAGCCUGCGGUUUAAUUGGACUCAACGCCGGAAAACUCACCUGGGGCGACAGCAAUAUGUAGGUCAGGCUGAAGGUCUUACCUGAAUCGCUGAGAGGAGGUGCAUGGCC